ACGAACGCUGGCGGCACGCUUAACACAUGCAAGUCGAACGAGAGAAGAGAAGCUUGCUUUUCUGAUCUAGUGGCGGACGGGUGAGUAACACGUGAGCAAUCUGCCUUUCAGAGGGGGAUACCGAUUGGAAACGAUCGUUAAUACCGCAUAACAUAAUUGAACCGCAUGAUUUGAUUAUCAAAGAUUUAUCGCUGAAAGAUGAGCUCGCGUCUGAUUAGCUAGUUGGUAAGGUAACGGCUUACCAAGGCGACGAUCAGUAGCCGGACUGAGAGGUUGAUCGGCCACAUUGGGACUGAGACACGGCCCAGACUCCUACGGGAGGCAGCAGUGGGGAAUAUUGCACAAUGGAGGAAACUCUGAUGCAGCGAUGCCGCGUGAGGGAAGAAGGUUUUAGGAUUGUAAACCUCUGUCUUCAGGGACGAAAAAAGACGGUACCUGAGGAGGAAGCUCCGGCUAACUACGUGCCAACAGCCGCGGUAAUACGUAGGGAGCGAGCGUUGUCCGGAAUUACUGGGUGUAAAGGGAGCGUAGGCGGGAUCGCAAGUCAGAUGUGAAAACUAUGGGCUUAACCCAUAAACUGCAUUUGAAACUGUGGUUCUUGAGUGAAGUAGAGGUAAGCGGAAUUCCUAGUGUAGCGGUGAAAUGCGUAGAUAUUAGGAGGAACAUCAGUGGCGAAGGCGGCUUACUGGGCUUUAACUGACGCUGAGGCUCGAAAGCGUGGGGAGCAAACAGGAUUAGAUACCCUGGUAGUCCACGCCGUAAACGAUGAUUACUAGGUGUGGGGGGACUGACCCCUUCCGUGCCGCAGCAAACGCAAUAAGUAAUCCACCUGGGGAGUACGACCGCAAGGUUGAAACUCAAAGGAAUUGACGGGGGCCCGCACAAGCAGUGGAGUAUGUGGAUUAAUUCGAAGCAACGCGAAGAACCUUACCAGGUCUUGACAUCGUAUGCAUAGCUCAGAGAUGAGUGAAAUCUCUUCGGAGACAUAUAGACAGGUGGUGCAUGGUUGUCGUCAGCUCGUGUCGUGAGAUGUUGGGUUAAGUCCCGCAACGAGCGCAACCCUUACUGUUAGUUGCUACGCAAGAGCACUCUAGCAGGACUGCCGUUGACAAAACGGAGGAAGGUGGGGAUGACGUCAAAUCAUCAUGCCCCUUAUGACCUGGGCCUCACACGUACUACAAUGGCUGUCAACAGAGGGAAGCAAAGCCGCGAGGUGGAGCAAACCCCUAAAAGCAGUCUUAGUUCGGAUUGUAGGCUGCAACCCGCCUACAUGAAGUCGGAAUUGCUAGUAAUCGCAGAUCAGCAUGCUGCGGUGAAUACGUUCCCGGGCCUUGUACACACCGCCCGUCACGCCAUGGGAGUCGGUAACACCCGAAGCCUGUAGUCUAACCGCAAGGAGGACGCAGUCGAAGGUGGGAUUGAUGACUGGGGUG
rnacentral:rRNA from 1 species